GUUCGGUGCGCGCAGGUGAGUGGGCCGGUUCGGCCCAUUUGGCCGGGCCGGCCGCUAUUUUUUUCCCUUCUUUUCCUUUUCUUUUUUCUAUUUUAUGUUUUUGAAUACAAAUUUUGAUUCAAAGCUCCAAUUGAAACCAAAUAAAAUGCAACAAAAUUUGUAAAAUCAUAUUUUCAUAUAAUUAAACUUUUGGGACAAGAACUCCAUCAAAAUAAAAUAUUUAAAAAUAUUUUAGCCUAUAAACUAGCCCUUAGGGCUUUUUAGCUAUUAAAAUAAUUAGUGUUUAAAUCAAAUUCAAAAACCAAUAAAUGGGGUAGCUUUAUAAAUGCAUUAAACCCCUUUUUAUGCCAGAACUCUCAUG
rnacentral:lncRNA from 1 species